CUCCCAACCCACUAACCCCUCUGAACGGAUCCCCCACUCCGUCCUAAUUCAUUCUCUUCCGUUACCCGCACUAAAACGUGCCCUAAUGGCCAUUAGAACACCGGAAACGGCCGCCAUGAAGACGCCAUAAUUCCGACGACGCCCUGCGUUGUCCCGACCUCCCCUCCAUCCUAUAAAAGGCCCCCUCCCCUCACAACUCUCUCCUUGCCCGAACCCCUCUAAGCUUAUGCCCCUACCCAUCGUCGUGAAUUGCUGACCGGAGUUACUUGACACGGCUGCUGUUCGUAGAAGGUUCCGGCCAGUUCGAGCCGGAGCACGAGUUUCAUGUUGUACGCUUCCGGCCGGAUUUCCGCCCAACUCCGGCGACAUCUAGCAGCCACCUGAAGGCAAACCAGGAGCCUACGUCGUGUCCUGAAGACUCCACGACUUCCUCUCCCUCGUCCACUUCUGUUACGUUGCCCGAGAUCACCGCAUCACCUCACGUCCGAACCGCCGCUGCCGGCCAUCUCCAUCUCCGAUAUAUCGUAAAGUGAAGGAGUGACGAUAACGAAUAGACAAUCAACUUCAAGAAUCAGAUCUCAACAGAUUAAGAGACGAUAGGGUUAUGGUCUAUACUCAACGAGCCCAGUGGCGUUGAUGGAGCCCUAACUUAGCGACUACGUAUUAUUCCGUUGUAUUAUGUGCCAGAAUUGAGCUGUGUCGAUGGUAUGUAUUUAUUUAAUUUUGGAUGUACCAUUGUAGUAAAAUAAUGUAUGUUUUACUGAUGUUCAUUUUUGUUACUGUGUGUGCUAGCUAUGAUCCAGGGAUAGCACAGUAAGCACAGAGACUUGGAUUUUACCAAAUCCGGGUUGUGACAAUGUGUUAGUCUCUUUUUCAUGAACUUAAUACUCUAGAUGCAGGUAGGAGUCGGUCGAUGUGUGGAGUAAUAGUAGUAGAUGCA